rnacentral:rRNA from 1 species
CCUACGGGUGGUAGCAGUGAGGAAUAUUGGUCAAUGGGCGAGAGCCUGAACCAGCCAAGUCGCGUGAAGGAUGACGGCCCUACGGGUUGUAAACUUCUUUUGUCAGGGAGUAAUUGGGUUCACGUGUGGGCUUAGCGAGAGUACCUGAAGAUAAAGCAUCGGCUAAUUCCGGGCAGGCGGCGGCGGUAAAACGGAGGAUGCGGGGGUUAUCGGGAUUUAUGGGGUUUAAGGGGUGCGUAGGCGGAAUAUCAAGUCUGCGGGAAAAGUUCGGGGUCAAACCCCGCCGUGCCGCUGAAACUGUUGUGCUUGAGUGCGCGAGAAGGAGGCGGAAUGCGUGGUGUAGCGGUGAAAUGCUUAGAUAUCACGCAGAACUCCGAUUGCGAAGGCAGCUUGCCGGCGCCCAACUGACGCUGAAGCACGAAAGCGUGGGUAUCGAACAGGAUUAGAUACCCGGGUAGUC